rnacentral:rRNA from 1 species
UUCCUACGGGGGGCAGCAGUAGGGAAUCUUCCACAAUGGACGAAAGUCUGAUGGAGCAACGCCGCGUGAGUGAAGAAGGGUUUCGGCUCGUAAAGCUCUGUUGGUAGUGAAGAAAGAUAGAGGUAGUAACUGGCCUUUAUUUGACGGUAAUUACUUAGAAAGUCACGGCUAACUACGUGCCAGCAGCCGCGGUAAUACGUAGGUGGCAAGCGGUGUCCGGAUUUAUUGGGCGGAAAGCGAGGGCAGGCGG